rnacentral:rRNA from 1 species
CCUUCGGGUUGUAAAGCACUUUCAGUGGGGAGGAAAGGUUAACGGUUAAUACCCGUUAGCUGUGACGUUACCCACAGAAGAAGCACCGGCUAACUCCGUGCCAGCAGCCGCGGUAAUACGGAGGGUGCAAGCGUUAAUCGGAAUUACUGGGCGUAAAGCGCACGCAGGCGGUUUGUUAAGCUAGAUGUGAAAGCCCCGGGCUCAACCUGGGACGGUCAUUUAGAACUGGCAGACUAGAGUCUUGGAGAGGGGAGUGGAAUUCCAGGUGUAGCGGUGAAAUGCGUAGAUAUCUGGAGGAACAUCAGUGGCGAAGGCGACUCCCUGGCCAAAGACUGACGCUCAUGUGCGAAAGUGUGGGUAGCGAACAGGAUUAGAUACCCUGGUAGUCCACACCGUAAACGCUGUCUACUAGCUGUUUGUGCCUUUAAGGCGUGAGUAGCGAAGCUAACGCGAUAAGUAGACCGCCUGGGGAGUACGGCCGCAAGGUUAAAACUCAAAUGAAUUGACGGGGGCCCGCACAAGCGGUGGAGCAUGUGGUUUAAUUCGAUGCAACGCGAAGAACCUUACCUACACUUGACAUGUUGAGAACUUUCCAGAGAUGGAUUGGUGCCUUCGGGAACUCAAACACAGGUGCUGCAUGGCUGUUGUCAGCU